rnacentral:lncRNA from 1 species
AUGUCAUUCUGCAGCUUCUUCGGGGGCAAGGUUUUCCAGAAUCACUUUGAGCCAGGCGUCUAUAUGUGUGCCAAGUGUGGCUAUGAGCUGUUUCCCAGCCGCUCAAAGUACACAUACUCAUUCCCCUGGCCGGUGUUCACCAAGACCAUCCGUUCUGACAGCGUGGCCAAGCGCCCAGAGCACAAUCAUCCUGAAGUCUUGAAGGUGUCUCGUGCAAGUGUGGCAACACGUUGAGCCACAAGUUCCUGAACGAUGGCCCCAAGCUGCGGCAGUCCCGAUUCUGAAUGAAUAUUCAGCAGCUCGCUGAAGUUUGUCCCUAAAGGCAAAGAAACUUCUGCUUCCCAGGCGCACUAG